rnacentral:rRNA from 1 species
GAUGAACGCUGGCGGCGUGCUUAACACAUGCAAGUCGAACGAAGCAUUUAGAACAGAUUAUUUCGGUAUGAAGUUCUUUAUGACGGAGUGGCGGACGGGUGAGUAACGCGUGGGUAACCUGCCUUGUACUGGGGGAUAGCAGCUGGAAACGGCUGGUAAUACCGCAUAUGCGCACGGGGCUGCAUGGCACAGUGUGAAAAACUCGGGUGGUAUAAGAUGGACCGGCGUCUGAGUAGCUAGUGGGUGAGAUAACAGCCCACCAAGGCGACGAUCAGUAGCCGACCUGAGAGGGUGACCGGCCACAUUGGGACUGAGACACGGCCCAGACUCCUACGGGAGGCAGCAGUGGGGAAUAUUGCACAAUGGAGGAAACUCUGAUGCAGCAACGCCGCGUGAGUGAAGAAGUAAUUCGUUAUGUAAAGCUCUAUCAGCAGGGAAGAUAGUGACGGUACCUGACUAAGAAGCUCCGGCUAAAUACGUGCCAGCCGCCGCAGUAA